rnacentral:piRNA from 1 species
UCUGCUGGGACUGGUAGCAUGAAUGCUGU